rnacentral:rRNA from 1 species
GUAUGUUCGGCAUCUAUCUGCAGUCGAGCGACAGAUAAGGAGCUUGCUCCUUUGACGUUAGCGGGGAGGGGAGUAACACGUGGGUAACCUACCUAUAAGACUGGAAAACUCCGGGAAACCGGGGCUAAUGCCGGAUAACAUUUAGAACCGCAUGGUUCUAAAGUGAAAGAUGGUUUUGUUCUCACUUAUAGAUGGACCCGCGCCGUAUUAGCUAGUUGGUAAGGUAACGGCUUACCAAGGCAACGAUACGUAGCCGACCUGAGAGGGUGAUCGGCCACACUGGAACUGAGACACGGUCCAGACUCCUACGGGAGGCAGCAGUAGGGAAUCUUCCGCAAUGGGCGAAAGCCUGACGGAGCAACGCCGCGUGAGUGAUGAAGGUCUUCGGAUCGUAAAACUCUGUUAUUAGGGAAGAACAAAUGUGUAAGUAACUAUGCACGUCUUGACGGUACCUAAUCAGAAAGCCACGGCUAACUACGUGCCAGCAGCCGCGGUAAUACGUAGGUGGCAAGCGUUAUCCGGAAUUAUUGGGCGUAAAGCGCGCGUAGGCGGUUUCUUAAGUCUGAUGUGAAAGCCCACGGCUCAACCGUGGAGGGUCAUUGGAAACUGGGAAACUUGAGUGCAGAAGAGGAAAGUGAAUUCCAUGUGUAGCGGUGAAAUGCGCAGAGAUAUGGAGGAACACCAGUGGCGAAGCGACUUUUCUGGUCUGUAACUGACGCUGAUGUGCGAAAGCGUGGGGGAUCAAAACAGGAUUAGAAACCGCGUGUGAGAGACUCACAAA